rnacentral:rRNA from 1 species
UGCGUAGGCGGCUUUUUAAGUCGGAUGUGAAAUCCCCGAGCUUAACUUGGGAAUUGCAUUCGAUACUGGGAAGCUAGAGUAUGGGAGAGGAUGGUAGAAUUCCAGGUGUAGCGGUGAAAUGCGUAGAGAUGUGGAGGAAUACCGAUGGCGAAGGCAGCCCCCUGGGAUAACACUGACGUUCAUGCUCGAAAGCGUGGGUAGCAAACA